UUAUAUGGCUAAAACUCCAGCAUAUCGAGAGUAUUAAUUCUUUUAAUAAUUAACAAAAAAAAACCCUACAAUUUUAUUCCCACAAUUAUAUAUACAUGCGGCUCCAAUGGAGUAUUCACAUUCUUUCUUGGCAGGUUGUGAGCACGGUAUUCACAUCCAAACACAGAAGUUAAGAGUGCCUGAUAUGGUUUAUGAAACUGGACUGCAAAUUGCACCAGACAGCUACGAAGACACCUUGACAGAACUUGAGUGGGAAAUGAACAUCAUUUUGAAGAAAUUAGGAGGCUAGGAAAUUCAAAAUUGAAACCCAAAAAAAAAAAAA